GUUUUUGGUGGUGCAUGGCCGUUGGUGGUGCGUGGGUUGACCUGUCUAGCGUUGAUUCAGCUAACGAGCGAGAUUAUCGCCAAUUAUUUACUUUGCCGAAGUCCUUCGGUUAAAGUUCUAAUUGGGACUCCCUGCGAUUUUAGCAGGUGGAAGAGGGUAGCAAUAACAGGUCCGUGAUGCCCUUUAGAUGCUCUGGGCUGCACGCGUGCUACAAUGUUAGGAUCAAUAGGACUGCGAGCCUGAGAGGGUGCGCUACUCUUAUAAUCCCUAACGUAGUUGGGAUUGACGUUUGUAAUCAGCGUCAUGAACCAGGAAUCCCUUGUAAAUGUGUGUCAACAACGCACGUUGAAUACGUCCCUGCCCUUUGUACACACCGCCCGUCGCUCCUACCGAUUGGAUGACUCGGUGAAAUCACCGGAUGCUUACGAGCAGAAAGUGAUUAAAUCACGUUAUCUAGAGGAAGGAGAAGUCGUAACAAGGUAACGGUAGGUGAACCUGCCGUUGGAUCAGUU
rfam:Trichomonas vaginalis G3, whole genome shotgun sequence.